CCGAGGGGCGGGGCCGAGGAGGCGUGUCGGGGGUCUCGCCACUCAGCCUGAGGCAACCUGGGAUCAACGUUAUUGAGAGCUGGCGGCUGCUGGCGCGCCGGUUGCACGCUGGGAGCACGUCCCUGCGUGUUGCUACGUGGAUCGCGGGGACCAAAAAUCAGACUCUAAGAAGCAUAACUCGAGGCCGAGGGACGUUCAGAAUUAGGCCAGGCUUCUGCAGGCGCUGAAAUUCUUUGGUACGAAGUAGCCCUUUUACACAGUUUGGUGACUGGGGAUUUACAGUCUUAGAGGACUGACAGCUUCCAUUCCUUCCCCGUGUAUGCUUUUAUAUGAACAUUUUAGUAAAGGCAAAACUCUAGAGACAGAGGGAACAACAGUAGUUGCCUGGCGCUAGGGAUGGAAGUGGGGAUUGACCUUGAACAGGCAGCAGGGAACUUUCUGGAGUGACGGAAAUAUUCUAAAACUGGAUGGUGGUGAUGGUUGCACACUGUAUGAAUUUAGAAGAAUUCAUCAAACUCUAUAUUUAAAAUGGAUACACUGAAUCUUUUGUAAAUUGUAUCUCAAAGAAGAAGGAAGAGGAGGAGAAAAAGAAGAAAGAAAAGAAAUAAUCAACAAGGAGGAAAGAAAUAAUCAACAAGGAGGGGGCAAGACGGGGCUUCUGGAGUCCUGGUGAUGUUCUGUUUCUUGAUCUGGGUGUUGGUUACAAGGAUAACAAUGGAUCCACUAUUAGCCAUUGAGGUGUUGAACCUCCACCAUCAUCAUGAAACCCGAGGACAUUUCAUAAACCAUACUGCCCAGGGUUAUGGCCAGGGUUGUCCCAGGUGAAGCAGGACACCCUGAGUGAAGACUGAGACACAGCCUUCUCUGUCAACAAGGUCACGUUCCAGCUGGUAAUGGACAAUCAUAAACGGAAUUGCUUGCUCUGGGGGACGCCAGCUGCCAGGUUGUCAGGAGAGGCUCAUGUGAAGAGGAGCUACUGCAUUCUGCGAAAAACUACAUGAGUGAGCUUGAAGCAAAUGUUCCUGCCCCAGCCAAGCCUUCAGCUGACUGCAGCCCCAGCUGACAUCUAGACUGCAAGAUCCGCUACCUACCUAAUCUGCUUCCAGAGUCCUUCAGAAACUGAGAUAAGAAAUGUUUGUUGGUGGACUUCCCUGGUGGCUCAGUGGUUAUGAGUCUGCCUGCCAAGCAGGGGACAUGGGUUGGAUCCCUGGUCUGGGAAGAUCCCACAUACCAUGGAGCAACUAAGCCCGUGUGCCACAACUACUGAACCUGCGUGCCACAACUACUGAAGCCUGUGCGCCUAGAGCCCAUGCUCUGCAACAAGAGAAGCCACCACAAUGAGAAGCCCGAGCACCGCAACAAAGAGUAGCCCCCGUUCUCCGCAACUAGAGAAAGCCCGCACGCAGCAACGAAGACCCAACGCAGCCAAAAAUAAAUAAAUACAUAAAUAAAUUUAUUAAAAAAAAAAAAAAGGAAAAGAAACGUUUGUUGGGGGACUUCCCUGGUGGUGCAGUGAUUAAGAAUCCUCCUGCCAAAAAAAAAAAGAGAAUCCUCCUGCCAAUGCAGGGGGACACGGGUUCAAUCCCUGGUUCGGGGAGAUCCCACAUGCCGCAAAGCAACUAAGCCCAUGUGCCACAACUACUGAGCCUGCACCCUGAGCCCGCGCACUGCAACUGCUGAGCCCACGUGCCACAACUACUGAAGCCCACGCACCGAGAGCCCGUGCUCCGCAACAAGAGAAGCCACCACAAUGAGAAGCCUGAGCAUCUUAACGAAGAGUAGCCUCUGCUCGCCACAACUAGAGAAAGCCUGCAAGCAGCCAAAAAAAAAAAAACAAAAACAAAAAAAAGAAACGUUUGUUGGGAAUUCCCUGGCGGUCCAGUGGUUAGGACUUGGCACUUCCAGUGCCUGGGACUGGGUUCAAUCCCUUGUCGGGGAACUAAGAUCCCCCAAGCUGCGUGGUGCAGCCAAAAAAGGAAGAAAGGUUUGUUGUUUUAAGUCCCUAAAUUUUGGGACAACUUAUGAUGCAGCAAUAGAGGACUGAUCCAGAGGAUAAAAGCACUUAGCAUAGUGCCUGGCACAUAGUAGGGGCUUUAGGAAAUGCAGCAUCUGUAGGUCUGGAGUUAUGGAUUUGGGAAUCUUUGGGCUUAGAGACAAGAAUGGAAUCCACAGAGGUGGCUGAGCCAGUCCACAGGGAGGAGUAGAUGGAGAAGAGAGUAUGGCCUUGGCCAGAAACCUGGGCAUAAGGAGUGGGUAAAGCAAGAGGAGGAGCAUCUCCAUGAGUCUAAGAGGAAGGAGGAAAACUAGAACAGGGUUCGGGGAAGAGGUUGUCCCUAGGAGAGUGUGGUCAGUGACAUCACUGCAGGGAGGCCUGAGAGGAGAUCUGAGGAGUGUCUUUCGGAUUCAACAACAAGGAGUUUUCUGGUGGCCCCACGAGAGCUAUGCAGGUGGAGAAGUGGGCCCUAAGGUCAGAUUGAAAGCUGUGGGUUGGUAUAUAAGGGUAAACACUUUCUACCCCCAAGCCCCAAACCAAGAUGGUUUACAGGAGAAUCCUAUAGAAAAUCUAAACCACAGAAAAACCCCAAUCUUAUAGAAGCUGCUCUAGUGAGUAGACACCGAUUCCUUAAUUUAUUUUUUUAAAAAUUAUUUAUUUAUUUAUUUAUUUGGCUGCGUCGGGUCUUAGUUGCGGCACGCAGGAUCUUUGUUGCAGUAUGCGGAUCUUUCAUUGCAGCACGCGGGCUCAAGAGCGCUCGGGCUCAGUAGUUGUGGUGCAUGGGCUUAGCUGCCCUGCGGCAUGUGGGAUCUUAGUUCCCCAACCAGGGAUUGAACCCCACGUCCCCUGCAUUGGAAGGCAGAUUCUUAACCACUGGAUCACCAGGGAAGUCCCCCCUUAACUUAUUUUAUGAGGCUCAUGUAACUUUGAUAGCAAAAUCAGACAAAGAGAGAAUAAGACAGGAAAAUAGUAGGCAUAUCUCAUUCAUAGAUACGGACACAAAAACUCUAAAUUAUUAGCAAAUGAAUCCAGCACUAUAUUGGAAAAAAAAGCACAUCAUCAAGGAAUGCAUGGAUGGGUUAUAGUAAAAUCCAUGGUUGUAAUUAAUUACAUUAGGGGGGAAAAUCUCACAUUUGAUAAAAUUCAACACCCAUUCAGAAUAAAGCAGAAUGGUACAUCCUUACUUUGAUAAAGGGUAUCUACCAAAAAUCUACAACAAACACCAUAUUUAAUGGUGCCAUAUUAGAAGCAGUCAAGAACAAGAUAAAAAUGUCACUAUCAUCAUUGUUACUCAACAUUGUGCUGGAGAUUUUAGUCAGUGCAGUAAAAUAAGGAAAAGGAAGUAAAGACUGGACAGGAAGAUACCAAAUGUUAUUACUUACAGACUCUAUAACUACUUACAUAGAAAAUUCAAGAAAGCCUGUAAACUUCCUAGAACUAAAUUAGAACUAAAAAAGAGUUUGCUGGAUAUAAGGUUAUUAUAUAAUAUGAACUACAUUUCAGUAACCAUCAAUAGGUUAUAAAAUACAAAUUUGAAAAUAUAAUUUACAAUAGUAUUAAAAACUUUGAGAUGUGUAGGAAUUGUUCUGAGAAAACCACUGACAAAAUUAAUUCCUCUCAGUUUUUAGUUGAGGAAAUAGAAGCCCCGAGAGGAGAAAUGACUCCUCCAAGGACACCAGUAAGCCAGGGGCAAUUUUGGAUUUUCAGUGGCACCAAAUCCUGGAGAUCUGUGUUGGGUACUUUCAGCAUUACCUUUCUUCUGUAAAAAAUAAAACUCGUAUUUUUCUGAUUAUAAAUUCAGCAUCCGUGCAUUCUAGAAAAUAUAGAAAAUUCAGAAGAACAUUUGGAAGUAGUAAGUCACUAAUAUUCCCAUCAUACUGCCUAGAACUAGGAUCAGUGAUUUCGUGUAUUUCCUUCAAAAUUUUUGCCUGUGUAUAUUUACAUUUUUAAAAAUAAAAUUAGGA